rnacentral:rRNA from 1 species
CGCGUAGGCGGUUCGUUAAGUCGGAUGUGAAAACUCUGGGCUCAACCCAGAGCCUGCAUCCGAAACUGGCGGGCUAGAGUUCUGGAGGGGGUAGCGGAAUUCCUGGUGUAGCGGUGAAAUGCGUAGAUAUCAGGAGGAACACCGGUGGCGAAGGCGGCUACCUGGACAGAAACUGACGCUGAGGCGCGAAAGCUAGGGGAGCAAACA